UGUAAUAUGCCUGACAAAAGGAUUAUUUUGAUGGAAUAAAUUAUGUAUUUAUACUAUUACAA
rnacentral:tRNA from 1 species